rnacentral:rRNA from 1 species
UACGAAGGGUGCAAGCGUUAAUCGGAAUUACUGGGCGUAAAGCGUGCGUAGGCGGUCUUUUAAGUCUGCUGUGAAAUCCCCGGGCUCAACCUGGGAAUGGCAGUGGAUACUGGGAGGCUAGAGUGUGUCAGAGGAUGGUGGAAUUCCCGGUGUAGCGGUGAAAUGCGUAGAGAUCGGGAGGAACAUCAGUGGCGAAGGCGGCCAUCUGGGACAACACUGACGCUGAAGCACGAAAGCGUGGGGAGCAAACAGG